UCCCUAUCUGCCGUGGGCGCUGGAGAACUGAGGGGGGCUGCUCCUAGUACGAGAGGACCGGAGUGGACGCAUCACUGGUGUUCGGGUUGUCAUGCCAAUGGCACUGCCCGGUAGCUAAAUGCGGAAGAGAUAAGUGCUGAAAGCAUCUAAGCACGAAACUUGCCCCGAGAUGAGUUCUCCCUGAGACUUAGAGUCUCCUGAAGGAACGUUGAAGACGACGACGUUGAUAGGCCGGGUGUGUAAGCGCAGCGAUGCGUUGAGCUAACCGGUACUAAUGAACCGUGAGGCUUAACCUUACAACGCCGAAG
rnacentral:rRNA from 1 species